rnacentral:rRNA from 1 species
UAUGUAGGGUGCAAGCGUUAAUCGGAAUUACUGGGCGUAAAGCGUGCGCAGGCGGUUUUGUAAGUCUGUCGUGAAAUCCCCGGGCUUAACCUGGGAAUGGCGAUGGAGACUGCAAGGCUAGAAUCUGGCAGAGGGGGGUAGAAUUCCACGUGUAGCAGUGAAAUGCGUAGAGAUGUGGAGGAACACCGAUGGCGAAGGCAGCCCCCUGGGUCAAGAUUGACGCUCAUGCACGAAAGCGUGGGGAGCAAACAGG